ensembl:lncRNA
UUUUUUUUUUUUUUUUGUACCAUAUAGUUGUAUUUGUUUAAGUAGCCACACAUGCACUAACACUUCUACAAUUUUUUUUUUUUUUUUUUUUUUUUCCAUAUGAUAACUUGUAGACUUUCAACAAAGACCCUAAUAUGUGGCUGUGCGAAAACAAAAUCGAGGAAAUUUGUAAAAUUUACAACAUAAAUUACUCAAGCAAUUAUUUAAUCAAAUUUGAUAAAUAUUUUUUAAAAAAAAAACAAAAGCCAAUAAUAUAUUACAUAAGUAAAAAUAAGUUUAAGAUUAUAUCUGUAAACGAAUAUGUAAAAAACAUAAUUGAACAAAUUCAAAAAACUAAUAAAAUUAGUUUUGUUAAUACUUCUACUGGUAACAAUAGUAGUAGCAUUGUUAGUGGUAAAAAAAAACAUAACAUCAAUAAUGAUAAUGAUAUUAAUAUUGGCAAUUACAAACAACUGACUACUCUUCCUUAUUAUAUUUUUAUUUGUUCUAUUUUGAUAAAGGAAAAUGACAAAAAUUAUAAUUUAGACGGUGUGUUAAUUGACGAGUUACAAACUGGACUGAUGACUCAAACCGGUCGAGCUAUUACUAUAGCUGAAAAUACUGAUGCGCUGUCUAUGCACACAAUAUACCAAGAGUUUUUUAUUUCAUUUUUUACUUGUAAAAAAAAUAAAGCAUCAACAUUAAAAACUGAGGCGGAAAAGAUAAAAACGACUAACUCAUUAUGUUAUUAUUUUCACACUUCUGAAAAAGUAAUGAAAAAGUUAAUACAUCAAAAGGAGAUGAAAAAAAAUAUGUUUGUGAAUAAAAGGGACAAUACAAAUUUAAUGAAAACUAACUCCAAACAUGUUCUACUUCCUUUUAAUAUUUUUGAUUAUGAAUGUUUUAUCAAAAAAAUAUAUCAUAACGAUAUUACUACUGCUGAUACUUCUACCAAAACUGAACAGUUUUAUUUACACAUGGAUCGACUGAUGUUUGACCUAUCAAACAGUGAAUAUGAAAACUAUAUUUUUAGUGACAGAAUUAGUAAAAAAAAUAUAUUGCUUGAGAAAAAUAAAGAGCAUUUUUUAUUUAUGUAUAUCAAAAACCCUAUAAACAAUAAUUUAUCAAUCGAGUGGAAGCUUGAUGACAAUAAAACUGACACAAACACGAACAUACAAAAAUCAUUACCGUCAAUUAGUUUAACUUUAAUGACAUUAGAAGAUUAUAUGGAAAAAAAAAUGCAAAUGAAAAUUAGUUAUUUAAAUAAAAAUAUAUUAAUAAGUAAAGAGAAUAUAAACAAGGUAUUACUAAAAUUUAUUGUUAGUAUAUCUGCAAAAAAUAAUGACAAAGUAUCAUUUUUUUAUGUUAUUCAUAAGUUUAAUAAUUUAAAAUUGUUGUCAUAUUUAGAUAUAUAUAUUUGUAAAAUAAAUAAAUACGAAACUAAUUACUAUAACAAAAAUGCACAAAUGGAAAAGAAAAAAAAAAGUUAUAACAAAAAUUUGAAGAAUGCACAAGUGGAUUAUAAAUGUUUAAAAGAGAUUGGCCGUUUUAAUAGAUUUUCUUUGAAAAAUUUUAUUAUGAAAGUCAACUUGAGUUGGGAACAGCAAUCGGAGCAACUACAACAACUGCAACAAUUGCAACAGCAGAGUGAGACAUACGAAUGCGAUUAUUUAUUUUUAAUUGUGUCCAAAAAAAUGAAAGAAUUGUAUGAACAAAAUUUGAAGCUUGAAAUAAGUGCAAGUUUACCAAAUAGUCAUACCAAUAAUUUCGUUAAACAAAAAACGGACGAAACUGUAGUUACUACUUCUACUUCUACCAAUAACAACAAUAUUGUGAUAUAUGAAGUUCCAUCUUUUUGUAAAAAUUAUACCUUAACAUAUUACGACAAUAUAUUGUACGAUUAUAGUCAGAAUAAUAAAGAAAAACAGAACGCUAAUAAUAGCUCUUAUAACAGUAUAAACAAUGACAAUAUGAGUCAAAAAAAUAACAAAAAAGAAACAGAUGAUGAAAUUGAAAAUAAUUAUACUAAUCCAGCUAUUGGCACUAAUCCAGCUAUUGGCACUAAUGCAGCUAUUGGCACUAAUGCAGCUAUUGGCACUAAUGCAGCUAUUGGCACUAAUGCAGAUAUUGGCACUAAUGCAGAUAUUGGCACAAAUGCAGAU